rnacentral:rRNA from 1 species
AACGAACGCUGGCGGCAUGCCUAACACAUGCAAGUCGAACGAGACCUUCGGGUCUAGUGGCGCACGGGUGCGUAACGCGUGGGAACCUGCCCUUAGGGUCGGAAUAACUCCCCGAAAGGGGUGCUAAUACCGGAUAAUGUCUUCGGACCAACGAUUUAUCGCCUUUGGAUGGGCCCGCGUUGGGUUAGCUAGUUGGUAGGGUAAAAGCCUACCAAGGCGACGAUCCAUAGCUGGUCUGAGAGGAUGAUCAGCCACACUGGGACUGAGACACGGCCCAGACUCCUACGGGAGGCAGCAGUGGGGAAUAUUGGACAAUGGGCGAAAGACUGAUCCAGCAAUGCCGCGUGAGUGAUGAAGGCCUUAGGGUUGUAAAGCUCUUUUACCCGGGAUGAUAAUGACAGUACCGGGAGAAUAAGCUCCGGCUAACUCCGUG